CUUUUCAUCCUCAAACUGUUUACCUUCAAAAUUUUAGUUUCCCUCCUAUCACUCUCAAACAUCAUACCCAAUUCAUCCUCAAACCGCACAAUGAACCUAAUUUCCGGUGAUCGUUAUGUGGUUCAGUCGCCAGAAGGGUUCAAUCGGCGUGUAAGAGUGUUUCAAUCGCCCUAGUUAAUUAUUGUUCUUCAAUUAAUUAAGUAGACAAACAGAUGUGGUUCUGAAAGGAUUUUUUAAACAAAUUAUCACUUUGUAUAACAAUUACCGUCGAUGCUUGAGAACAGUACCAAUCGACCAAAUUUGCAUCUUAUUUAUGGUACUGCCACAUAUUCCUUUUUUGUCCAUCAGAGAGAGACCAGAGAAUCGGCUAAAGGGAGAAGAAGAAAGAAAGAAAAUCGAAGCGAUAGAGAGAGAAAGCAUGAACGGAAGGGGAUCCGGCCAAGCCUACGACCGACCACCCUGUUUCGGUGAUUGUCGAUGGCUUAUGCCCCUGUUCUAGCGGCAACGGGUGUGGUUGAUAGCAGAAGUUAUGGCGAUGAUGGACUCAAACGGAAGGAGACACUGAGGUCAUAGAGGUCAGCAAUUAAGGUGUUCCAACAGAAAUCCGGUGAAUAAGAUCUGUCGUGCGUGUCCCGCUUUGGUGUACAUCGACAAACACCGAAGUACCGCUAUGGUAAGGUGUUUGACGAAAUGCCUUUAUACGUUUCUUUGGUUUUAAAGUUUCGACGGUUUGAUAUUAGUAGAUUUUAUUCAUUGCAACAUUUGCUGAAUGAUUACCCUUCAUUCAUAGCAGUUAAAGUCGGAAGACGCUCUCAAGGCGCAAAAAGUGAACACCACAUACAAAAAAAAGCGCAAGAUUUUUAUGCUAUAAUACUUCCAGAUAUUAACUAGUGAACACUCAUUGUUCAUUACAACAAUGUGACAAGUAAGAAAAUAUAUUUAAGCAUUAUGAUUUAAAAAGUGUCUUAAUGUGAAAGGUGUAGACAAUUUGCAAAGGUCUUGUAGAAACUUCACCAUGACACAACAAAGUAAGGUGUAGACCAUAUAUAGGUUCUAUAGUCAAAGCGCAUAAGGCGCACACUUGGUGCGCAAGCGAGGCGAUGGCGCCUAAGGUAGACCCAAGGUGACAACCUUGCUCUAUGUGCAACAAAAGCUCAGGAUCAGAAGAUUUCUUCAAUCAUUAAUCAGUGCACCAUGAAGUAAUUACUACUGCAAAGCUUUGCUUAUAUUUAUUUGAAAAGACUUGAAACUAUGUAUCAGAGGUAAGUUUUAUGUAUAUAUUUUAUUGUAGCCGCUUUGCAAAUACUCAUACAUGCAGCAUCAAAAGACAUCUUGGAAAAAAAGAUUCUUUCCUUGCGUCGUCGAUACUUUGCAUAAUACUGUGCACGGUUUUACGACUCACGUCCCCGCAACACGGAGGUUAAACACUAGUUCUAUAUAACAUUUCAAUAGUUAGAUGGAGCUGGACAAAAAUUACAUGAAUGUCUUGCCUAUCAAACCUGAAAAUUAGUUAACAAACCUGAUCGAACUAGACAACAAGGAGAUUCAAGGCUGUUAAUGGUCAUCAGUGAGUUCCAUAUCAUUGAGAGCCUGGUAUAUAUACGUUGUCAUUAAUUUUUAUCUUUGCUUAGUGAUCAUUACAUCAUAGUUGUCAAAAGCGCAAAAGGCGCGCGCCUAGGCGCUCGGGCGCAGCGAGUCGCGCCUAUAGCGCCUGGUGGUAGCUUAGGCGUAAAAAUGGUUUUUUUUUUUUUUUUGUAAAAACGGUGCUCAGGCGCAAAAGGCGCGCGCCUAGACAAUUUAUUUAUGACUAGUAUUUUCUAUUUAGAGUUUUCUAUUAGCUAAGUCGUUUAUAUUAAUGUGUAUCUAGAAGUGUUGUUCGCGCGUUAAGGAAAUGUGCAUGUCUCAAAAAAGUAUGCACACAGCCGACCCAAAAAAUUUUGCUAGAAUUCGCGAAGAAGUGAAGAGAUGCAUAGAAAUGAUGACUCAAACAAGGAAUUACCUAGUUAAACCAAAAUGUUUGAAGGUGCACCUACAAGGACCAAGGGUUGGGCAUACGAUGACACUGCGAUGAAAAUCGAACAAUUGAAGAACUUCAAAGCUCCAGAGGAGAUGGAAGUGCUUUAGUUGAUCAUUUUACAGACGGCACCUUUGACUUUAUAGCGGAUGUAUUCCUAAAAUAACGAUGAAAAAAUGGAUGGUGGUGUGGAUCCGUGGAAUCAUACAUAAUUUCGGGUGGGUUUAUGGAAUCAUUCAACGCGAGUCUUGAAGUUGAAAGAACACAACAAUGCGAAAAGAAAUUGAAUGGGCCAUCACAUGAAAAAAAACCUAAGCUAGAAGCUAUGUAGAAAGAUUAUCACAACCAACAAGCAAACUUUGAAGUUAUGAUGCGAAGUAUUAUGGAAAAGCUACCUAAUGGAGUAUUAUAGGAUCUUGGAGAUGAUUAGGAGGUUUUCUUUACUUUUUAUGAUUGUACUUCACAACUUUAUUAUGAUUACAUUGUUCUUUUGAUUUUGGACACCUUUUAUAUUACGAUAUAAGAUUAUCUUAUAUGAAUA